UACGUAGGGUGCGAGCGUUGUCCGGAAUUAUUGGGCGUAAAGGGCUCGUAGGCGGUCUGUUGCGUCAGGAGUGAAAACUCGGGGCUUAACCCCGAGCCUGCUUCUGAUACGGGCAGACUAGAGGUAUGCAGGGGAGAACGGAAUUCCUGGUGUAGCGGUGAAAUGCGCAGAUAUCAGGAGGAACACCGGUGGCGAAGGCGGUUCUCUGGGCAGUACCUGACGCUGAGGAGCGAAAGCGUGGGGAGCGAACAGG
rnacentral:rRNA from 1 species